rnacentral:rRNA from 1 species
CCUACGGGAGGCUGCAGUGAGGAAUAUUGGUCAAUGGGCGCGAGCCUGAACCAGCCAAGCAGCGUGAGGGAUGAAGGUCCUAUGGAUCGUAAACCUCUUUUAUAAGGGAAUAAAGUGUGGGACGUGUCCUGUUUUGUGUGUACCUUAUGAAUAAGGAUCGGCUAACUCCGUGCCAGCAGCCGCGGUAAUACGGAGGAUCCGAGCGUUAUCCGGAUUUAUUGGGUUUAAAGGGUGCGUAGGCGGCCUGUUAAGUCAGCGGUUAAAGUCUGUGGCUGAACCAUAGAAGUGCCGUUGAAACUGGGAGGCUUGAGUAUGUUUGAGGUAGGCGGAAUGCGUGGUGUAGCGGUGAAAUGCUUAGAUAUCACGCAGAACCCCGAUUGCGAAGGCAGCCUGCCAAGCCAUGACUGACGCUGAUGCACGAAAGCGUGGGGAUCAAACAGGAUUAGAUACCCUGGUAGUC